CACAUUGAUUCUCUUUCAACCUCCUUACAGCGUUUCAACAGAGUGUUGUAGAGAGAGAAAGCGAGCCGGCCUUCGUCUUUGGUUGGCUUUGCUUCUUGGAUCCAUCUUCCUCUCUUUUUUCCUCUUAUCGUUUUCAGGUGAAUUAAGAUGGCCGACGGCGAGGAUAUUCAGCCCCUUGUUUGUGACAAUGGAAC